AGUGAACGCUGGCGGUAGGCCUAACACAUGCAAGUCGAACGGCAGCACAGUAAGAGCUUGCUCUUACGGGUGGCGAGUGGCGGACGGGUGAGGAAUACAUCGGAAUCUACUUUUUCGUGGGGGAUAACGUAGGGAAACUUACGCUAAUACCGCAUACGACCUACGGGUGAAAGCAGGGGAUCUUCGGACCUUGCGCGAUUGAAUGAGCCGAUGUCGGAUUAGCUAGUUGGCGGGGUAAAGGCCCACCAAGGCGACGAUCCGUAGCUGGUCUGAGAGGAUGAUCAGCCACACUGGAACUGAGACACGGUCCAGACUCCUACGGGAGGCAGCAGUGGGGAAUAUUGGACAAUGGGCGCAAGCCUGAUCCAGCCACACCGCGUGGGUGAAGAAGGCCUUCGGGUUGUAAAGCCCUUUCGUUGGGAAAGAAAAGCAGCAGGUUAAUACCCCGCUGUUCUGACGGUACCCAAAGAAUAAGCACCGGCUAACUUCGUG
rnacentral:rRNA from 1 species